UACAGAGGUCUCAAGCGUUGUUCGGAUUCAUUGGGCGUAAAGGGUGUGUAGGUGGCGCGCUAAGUCGGGUGUGAAAUUUCGGAGCUUAACUCCGGAACUGCAUUCGAUACUGGCGUGCUUGAGGACUGGAGAGGAGACUGGAAUUCAUGGUGUAGCAGUGAAAUGCGUAGAGAUCAUGAGGAAGACCAGUGGCGAAGGCGGGUCUCUGGACAGUUCCUGACGCUGAGGCACGAAGGUCAGGGGAGCAAACGGG
rnacentral:rRNA from 1 species